rnacentral:rRNA from 1 species
AACCAGUACCGUGAGGGAAAGGUGAAAAGCACUUCGAACAGAAGAGUGAAAUAGUCCCUGAACCCAUACGCCUACAAGCAGUCGGAGCCGCUUCGUGCGGUGACGGCGUGCCUUUUGCAUAAUGAGCCUACGAGUUACUCAUCACCAGCGAGGUUAAGUACUUCAGGUACGUAAGCCGAAGCGAAAGCGAGUCUGAAUAGGGCGUCAAGUUGGUGGUGGUAGACGCGAAACCUUAGUGAUCUACCCAUGGGCAGGGUGAAGGUUUGGUAACACAAACUGGAGGCCCGAACCGGUAAACGUUGAAAAGUUUUCGGAUGACCUGUGGGUAGGGGUGAAAGGCCAAUCAAACUGGGAAAUAGCUCGUACUCUCCGAAAUGCAUUUCGGUGCAGCCUGUGAUGUUCUGUUCCAGAGGUAGAGCUACUGGUUGGACGCGAGGGCUUCACCGCCUAUCAAAUCCGGAUAAACUCCGAAUGCUGGAACACGAAAUCAUGGAGUGAGCCCGCGGGUGCUAAGGUCCGCGGACGAGAGGGAAAGAACCCGGACCACCGGCUAAGGUCCCGGAUGGACAGUUAAGUUGAUCAAACGAGGUGGGAUCGCGGAGACAGCUAGGAUGUUGGCUUGGAAGCAGCCAUUCAUUUAAAGAGUGCGUAACAGCUCACUAGUCGAGGAGUCCGGCGUGGAUAAUACUCGGGCAUAAACUGUUUACCGAAGCUAUGGAUGUAGAAAUACAUGGUAGGGGAGCAUUCCAACGGCGUCGAAGGUGAAGGAUGACCUUUGCUGGAGCUUUUGGAAACGCAAAUGUAGGUAUAAGUAACGAUAAAGGAGGUGAGAAACCUCCUCGCCGAAAGACUAAGGUUUCCUGAUCAACGUUAAUCGGAUCAGGGUAAGUCGGGACCUAAGGUUAAGCCGAACGGCGAUACCGAUGGAAGAAUGGUUUAAUAUUCCCAUACUACUUUAUGGAGCGAUGUGGAGACGGAGAAGUGAAAGUCCUGCCAUCUGACGGAAUAGGUGGUUGAAGAGUGUAGAUGUAGAUUCCUGUAGGCAAAUCCGCAGGGAGAGUCGACCUUGACAGUAUGCCGCGUGCUUGCACAAGGCAAAAUGGACGUAAUCAGGCUCCCAAGAAAAUCCGCUAAGCAUAUUCAUAAAGUACCCGUACCGUAAACGGACACACGUAGUUGGGUUGAAAAUACUGAGGCGCUCGAGUGAUUCACGGUUAAGGAACUAGGCAAAUUGACCCUGUAACUUCGGGAUAAAGGGUCCCAACGAGAGUUGGGCGCAGAGAAUAGGUCCAGGCAACUGUUUAACAAAAACACAGGGCUGUGCCAAAUUGAAAGAUUACGUAUACAGCCUGACACCUGCCCGGUGCUGGAAGGUUAAGAGGAGAUGUCAUCGCAAGAGAAGCAUUGAAUUGAAGCCCCAGUAAACGGCGGCCGUAACUAUAACGGUCCUAAGGUAGCGAAAUUCCUUGUCGGGUAAGUUCCGACCUGCACGAAUGGUGUAAUGAUCUGGACGCUGUCUCAACCGUGAGCUCAGUGAAAUUGUAGUAUCGGUGAAGAUGCCGAUUACCCGCGAUGGGACGAAAAGACCCCGUGAACCUUUACUAUAGCUUAACAUUGAAUUUGGGUAAUUGAUGUGUAGGAUAGGCCGGAGACUUUGAAGCAGGUACGCCAGUAUUUGUGGAGUCGCUGUUGAAAUACGGCCCUUUGAUUAUUUGAGUUCUAACUCGUUGUCACGAGGACACUGUUUGGUGGGUAGUUUGACUGGGGUGGUCGCCUCCAAAAGUGUAACGGAGGCUUCUAAAGGUGCCCUCAGGACGAUUGGUAACCGUCCGCAGAGUGUAAUGGCAUAAGGGCGCUUGACUGGGAGACAUACAAGUCGAUCAGGUAGGAAACUAGAGCAUAGUGAUCCGGUGUUUCCGCAUGGAAGGGACAUCGCUCAAAGGAUAAAAGGUACUCCGGGGAUAACAGGCUGAUCCCUCCCA